rnacentral:rRNA from 1 species
GGAAGGAUCAUUGUCGUUUCCUAUUCGACAGACUAGAGAACAGGUUAUCCUUGCUCACUUAAGCUGAAGGGGGCAUUCCACCCUUUUGGGAGGCAAUGAACCAUUCUGCUAUUGGCCUGGUGCAUGUUUCAUUCUAUUGGCUUUUAUAAAAGGUUGAUGGAUUUGAAACUGCUCAUUGGCUAAAACAAUAAAAAUCGGCGCUUUGAAGCGUCAAGGAAUAAUUUUGAUCGAAAGUAGUAAAGAUGGCAAUCCAGCCACAGAAUAUGUGGUGGGAAGUAUGCUUGUCUUUCUUUAAACGAAUGACUCUCGGCAACGGAUAUCUUGGCUCCUGCCACGAUGAAGAACGUAGCGAAAUGCGAUACUUGGUGUGAAUUGCAGAAUCCCGUGAAUCAUCGAGUUUUUGAACGCAAGUUGCGCCUGAGGCCAUUCGGCUAAGGGCACGUCUGUCUGGGCGUCACGCUUAGCGUCGCCCUCCCUAAGUUUUAAGGGAGAGCGGAGGAUUGGCCAUCGAUGCCAUGAAUGAUUGGUGUCGUUGGCUGAAAAUUCUAACCUUUCGAUUUGUUGUUUGUCACAACAAGCGGUGGAUUUCCAUUCGGUUGUGCCUAACAUGAAUGAAGGGACAUGGGACAUAUGUAAGGCAAAGAACAAUGGUUUUUAUGCCUUUAGCUUUGCGACCCCAGGUCAGGCGAGACUACCCGCUGAGUUUAAGCAUAUCA